GACGGCAGCACGAGGAGCUUGMUCCUUGGUGGCGAGUGGCGAACGGGUGAGUAAUAUAUCGGAACAUGCCCAGUAGCGGGGGAUAACUACUCGAAAGAGUGGCUAAUACCGCAUACGUCCUACGGGAGAAAGCAGGGGAYCUUCGGGCCUUGCACUAUUGGAGUGGCCGAUAUCGGAUUAGCUAGUUGGUGGGGUAAAGGCCUACCAAGGCRACGAUCCGUAGCUGGUUUGAGAGGACGACCAGCCACACUGGGACUGAGACACGGCCCAGACUCCUACGGGAGGCAGCAGUGGGGAAUUUUGGACAAUGGGGGAAACCCUGAUCCAGCCAUCCCGCGUGUGCGAUGAAGGCCUUCGGGUUGUAAAGCACUUUUGUCAGGAAAGAAAUCGCCCGGGAUAAUACCUCGGGUGGAUGACGGUACCUGAAGAAUAAGCACCGGCUAACUACGUGCCAGCAGCCGCGGUAAUACGUAGGGUGCAAGCGUUAAUCGGAAUUACUGGGCGUAAAGCGUGCGCAGGCGGUUCGGAAAGAAAGAUGUGAAAUCCCAGGGCUUAACCUUGGAACUGCAUUUUUAACUACCGRGCUAGAGUGUGUCAGAGGGGGGUGGAAUUCCGCGUGUAGCAGUGAAAUGCGUAGAUAUGCGGAGGAACACCGAUGGCGAAGGCAGCCCCCUGGGAUAACACUGACGCUCAUGCACGAAAGCGUGGGGAGCAAACAGGA
rnacentral:rRNA from 1 species